rnacentral:rRNA from 1 species
GCUAAGAAUAUUCCGCAAUGGACGAAAGUCUGACGGAGCGACGCCGCGUGGAUGAGGAAGGCCGAAAGGUUGUAAAGUCCUUUUGUCGAUGAAGAAUAAGUGGUGGAGGGAAUGCCAUCAUGAUGACGUUAGUCGGCGAAUAAGCCCCGGCUAAUUACGUGUCAGCAGCCGCGGUAACACGUAAGGGGCAAGCGGUGUUCGGAAUUAUUGGGCGUAAAGGGUACGUAGGCGGUUAUGUAAGUCCGGCGUGAAAUCCUGCAGCUUAACUGUAGAGCUGCGCUGGGAACUGCGUAACUUGAGUCAUGGAAGGGAAGUUAGAAUUCCAGGUGUAGGGGUGAAAUCUGUAGAUAUCUGGAAGAAUACCGGUGGCGAAGGCGAACUUCUGGCCAAUGACUGACGCUGAGGUACGAAAGUGCGGGGAGCAAACAGGAUUAGAAACCCUGGUAGUCC